rnacentral:rRNA from 1 species
CCUACGGGAGGCAGCAGUGAGGAAUAUUGGUCAAUGGACGAGAGUCUGAACCAGCCAAGUAGCGUGAAGGAUGACUGCCCUAUGGGUUGUAAACUUCUUUUAUAUGGGAAUAAAACGUUCCACGUGUGGGAUUUUGUAUGUACCAUAUGAAUAAGGAUCGGCUAACUCCGUGCCAGCAGCCGCGGUAAUACGGAGGAUCCGAGCGUUAUCCGGAUUUAUUGGGUUUAAAGGGAGCGUAGGUGGAUUGUUAAGUCAGUUGUGAAAGUUUGCGGCUCAACCGUAAAAUUGCAGUUGAAACUGGCAGUCUUGAGUACAGUAGAGGUGGGCGGAAUGCGUGGUGUAGCGGUGAAAUGCUUAGAUAUCACGAAGAACUCCGAUUGCGAAGGCAGUUCACUGGACUGCAACCGACACUGAGGCUCGAAAGUGUGGGUAUCAAACAGGAUUAGAUACCCCAGUAGUC